rnacentral:snRNA from 1 species
CGAUCCCCGGCAACGGCGCC